AUAAUAAACUCAUUUUAAUGACUGUGUAACAUUCCAUGGCAUGGGUGUGGCAUAACUUAUCCAACCAAUCUCCUAAUAAUGUGUAUUUACUCCAUUUCCCAUUUUUUUGUCACCAGGAAAUGAUGCAAUAAACACGCUUGUUCAUAUAAACAGUGGCCUUUUAACGUCUAUGGAACAAGUUCCCAAGAAUGAACUAUUGGAUCAAAGGGCAUUUGUUUUUAAUGUUAAUAGGUCUUGCCAGAUUGCUUCCCCAAAGAAGCUGUAACAACCAGCUACAUUAGGAAUGGAUGAGAGCCCUUCCCUGUUCCCACUCCCCACCUCCUGCCAAGGAGUACUUUCUUUUUCUUUCUUUGCCAAUGUGACAGUUACGUGGAAGAAGAUAUACAACAAAGGUACCGCACAUAGUAAAGACAGGCUCGGUCAGCUAUUAACCUGAGCUGCUAGCAGAGAAGUCUCUACCUCCAUACUCCAGAAGUAAGUACGACAGGAGGAGAGAG